rnacentral:misc_RNA from 1 species
GUUCGAGCGUCAUUACAACCCUCAAGCUCAGCUUGGUAUUGGGGCGUGCCGGUAAAACGGCAGCCUCAAAAUCAGUGGCGGUGCUGUCAGGCCCUAAGCGUAGUAAUCUUUCUCGCUACAGGUCCUGGGAGCAGUAGCCAUCAACCCCCUCCCUUUCUAUGGUUGACCUCGGAUCAGGUAGGGAUACCCGCUGAACUUAA